UUAAAACUCUAGUUCCUGUAUGAUCACUGAAGUUAAGCAACAUCAAGACUGGUUAGUACUUAAAUGGGUGACUGCUCAGGAAUACCAGGUGCUGUAAG